CCCGUCACGUGAACAAUCAUGCAAAUGCAAUAUCACCUUUCACACAGCGUGACGUAUCCUUGGCUCUACCACGCGCAGUGUUCACACACAACCCCUACACCACGUCUGUCCCUCACCGUCACUGAAGCACACUCCAGCGCUGUCGCAUACUUGACUCUCCAUCACACGCAGCCUGGAGACACCCUCACCUGUUUUGACGACCCCUCCCCUCUUGUCUGUCACACCAUCACCUCCGUCACAGCUCGCGUUUACCUGGAGCGUUUCCCUCCGUCCAUUCCCACCGCCGGCUAGGGUCGGAGUUCUCAAAGCCCUCCCCUCCACGCCCCGCAAUGAUUUCUCUUUACACUGAACCUGCUCACACGCGCAGCCCAAGAACCACGAGGAAGCUCUAGGUGGACUUCCGAGACCGACGGUCAUUGGGGCCCAGUGGCCUGUGGGAAAUGUAGUCCAGAGCCGGAAAAGCAGGAGACAUCGGAAACCCAAGGGCCGGGGGGGCGUCUCCGCCCCGGAGGUUUCUGGGAGUUGUAGUCGGUGCUCGCAGUGCGCAAGCGCCGGCUCGCGCCUGCCGUGUGUGAAUGACGUCUUGGGCGUGGGAGUCUAGGGUGAGUCCGCAGCGGUAGUACUUACCUGACCACGUUUGUGCCUGAACAUCUUUGCGCUCCGGAAGGCCCAGUGUAGGCUGAUGGUCCCUGAGGUGCGCCAGCUCCUGGACCCGCACUGGGGACACAGCAGAUGAUCUUGGGGCUUCCCUGGUGGCACAGUGGUUAAGAAACCGGUUGCCAAUACAGGGGACACGGGUUCAAGCCCUGGUCUGGGAAGAUCCCACAUGCCAUAGAGCAACUAAGCACAUG